UUAGCCUAGGUCAUAUUGUUGACCAAUUGGGCUUUACUUGAGGUUGCACCGUAGAGAAGCCAUUCUCUGGAGGGAAAUUUGCACCGUUUCUUUGAAUGACCUUUCUUGUAAAGAAGUUUGCAUGCUGGUGAAAAUGAUGAUUGAUUUGAUUUGAAUUUUUGAUGGUUGAGCUUUCUACCCUCUAAGUUUGUUUAUAUAUGUAUGUAUGUCUCUGAAAUGCUGGUGAAAAUGAUGAUUGAAGAGAUGAUGGGUAUUUGAAGUGACAACCCAAGUUCGAAGAAGAAGAGUAGUGAAUGAUAAGGUAAUAACUUUGAUAUCUUUUCCGAUUUGGUUCUAAUAACUUUAUAUGUAAUUAUCAAAGAAUGUCUCAACUCUGAAGGUUGCAGUCCCAGUUUAUUGGUUUUGGUUCCAGUCUUAUUGGAGUAGUAUUGUCUAAAAUCAUAGGGAAUAGUGCAGCUCAAUAAAGAGAUGAAUAACCAGACUGGUUGCUGGGUUCGUACAAUGCUUUGUUGUUGUGAUAAUGUAAUUAAAGUUGUAUAUUGACCAGUCACGUAGUGAUCUCUAAUUCCAACUGUAAACAGUUUGGUGUUUGUCAUGCCAGAUGAUGCCUAUCUAUGUCCGUGAAGCCGAAGCAAUUUUUCGAUGAUCCCAACACAGCAUAAAGGUAGCCUAAUGUACUGUACUGAUCCCCAGUUUUCAAUAGUAAUGCUCAAAUUGGGUUGCCUAGAAGAAGAAAACAUGGUUGAUACAGCAGAGCUGGUAAUAAAUGUAACUUUAACAACAAAUUUGUUACUAAUAUAUUUGCCAGAUAAGAUGUUGACGAAUUUGGUUAUAGGUACAAGGCAUAAAGCAAUUCAG
rnacentral:lncRNA from 1 species